GAUGAACGCUGGCGGUAUGCCUAACACAUGCAAGUCGUACGAGAGUUUUUAACUCUAGUGGCGGACGGGUGAGUAACACGUGAGAAUUUGCCUUUAGGAGGGGGAUAACAAUUGGAAACGAAUGCUAAUACCCCAUAUGCUUUUGAGUGAAAUGGAUUUUAUCCGCCUAGAGAGAAGCUCGCGGCUGAUUAGCUUGUUGGUAAGGUAAGAGCUUACCAAGGCGACGAUCAGUAUCUGGUUUGAGAGGACGAUCAGACACACUGGAACUGAGACACGGUCCAGACUCCUACGGGAGGCAGCAGUGGGGAAUUUUCCGCAAUGGGCGAAAGCCUGACGGAGCAAUACCGCGUGAGGGAAGAAUGCCUAUGGGUUGUAAACCUCUUUUUCUAGGGAGGAAGUAAAAAUGACGUGUACCUGAAGAAUAAGCAUCGGCUAACUCCGUG
rnacentral:rRNA from 1 species